rnacentral:rRNA from 1 species
UCGAGGAUCUUCGGCAAUGGGCGCAAGCCUGACCGAGCGACGCCGCGUGCGGGAUGAAGGCCUUCGGGUUGUAAACCGCUGUCAGAGGGGAUGAAAUCACAGUGGGUUCUCCCAUUGUGUUGACAGAGCCUCAGAGGAAGCGCGGGCUAAGUUCGUGCCAGCAGCCGCGGUAAUACGAACUGCGCGAACGUUAUUCGGAAUCACUGGGCUUACAGGGUGCGUAGGCGGCGUGGAAAGUAGGGUGUGAAAUGCCUUGGCUCAACCAAGGCACAGCGCUCUAAACUACCGCGCUGGAGUGAGUCAGGGGUGCGCGGAACUUCCGGUGGAGCGGUGAAAUGUGUUGAUAUCGGAAGGAACACCGGUGGCGAAAGCGGCGCACUGGGGCUUAACUGACGCUGAGGCACGAAAGCCAGGGGAGCGAACGG